ensembl:rRNA 5S_rRNA 5S ribosomal RNA
AAAAACAGCCAUAUCACCUUGCAGCCCAACACCGGUUACUCACUGAAGCUAAGCAGGGCUGAGCCUGGUCAGUACCUCGAUGGGAGACCACAUGGAAAAACUAGCUUUCUGUUGGAA